rnacentral:rRNA from 1 species
GAUGAACGCUAGCGGCAGGCUUAACACAUGCAAGUCGAGGGGUAAGGUCUUUUCGGAGAUACACGACCGGCGCACGGGUGAGUAACGCGUAUGCAACCUACCUUUAACAGAGAGAUAGCCCGAAGAAAUUCGGAUUAAUAUUUCAUAAUAUUUAGAACUGGCAUCAGUUUUAUUUUAAAGCUCCGGCGGUUAAGGAUGGGCAUGCGUGACAUUAGUUAGUUGGUGAGGUAACGGCUCACCAAGACUACGAUGUCUAUGGGGUCUUAAAGGAUGGUCCCACACACUGGUACUGAGACACGGACCAGACUCCUACGGGAGGCAGCAGUGAGGAAUAUUGGUCAAUGGGCGCAAGCCUGAACCAGCCAUGCCGCGUGCAGGAAGAAGGUCCUAUGGAUUGUAAACUGCUUUUGUAUAGGAAGAAACGACUCUACGAGUAGAGUUCUGACGGUACUAUA